UACGGAGGAUGCAAGCGUUAUCCGGAAUGAUUGGGCGUAAAGCGUCCGCAGGUGGCAAUGUAAGUCUGCUGUCAAAGCGUCUGGCUCAACCAGAUAAAGGCAGUGGAAACUACAUAGCUAGAGUAAGGUAGGGGUAGAGGGAAUUCCUGGUGUAGCGGUGAAAUGCGUAGAGAUCAGGAAGAACACCGGUGGCGAAAGCGCUCUGCUGGACCUUAACUGACACUGAGGGACGAAGGCUAGGGGAGCGAAUGGG
rnacentral:rRNA from 1 species